CACAUGCAGUCGAGCGGUAGAGAGGUGCUUGCACCUCUUGAGAGCGGCGGACGGGUGAGUAAUACCUAGGAAUCUGCCUGAUAGUGGGGGAUAACGUUCGGAAACGGACGCUAAUACCGCAUACGUCCUACGGGAGAAAGCAGGGGACCUUCGGGCCUUGCGCUAUCAGAUGAGCCUAGGUCGGAUUAGCUAGUUGGUGAGGUAAUGGCUCACCAAGGCUACGAUCCGUAACUGGUCUGAGAGGAUGAUCAGUCACACUGGAACUGAGACACGGUCCAGACUCCUACGGGAGGCAGCAGUGGGGAAUAUUGGACAAUGGGCGAAAGCCUGAUCCAGCCAUGCCGCGUGUGUGAAGAAGGUCUUCGGAUUGUAAAGCACUUUAAGUUGGGAGGAAGGGCAUUAACCUAAUACGUUAGUGCUUUGACGUUACCGACAGAAUAAGCACCGGCUAACUCUGUGCCAGCAGCCGCGGUAAUACAGAGGGUGCAAGCGUUAAUCGGAAUUACUGGGCGUAAAGCGCGCGUAGGUGGUUUGUUAAGUUGAAUGUGAAUCCCCGGGCUCAACCUGGGAACUGCAUCCAAACUGGCAAGCUAGAGUAUGG
rnacentral:rRNA from 1 species